rnacentral:rRNA from 1 species
GUGAGUAACGCGUAGGUAACCUGCCUGGUAGCGGGGGAUAACUAUUGGAAACGAUAGCUAAUACCGCAUAAGAGUAGAUGUUGCAUGACAUUUGCUUAAAAGGUGCAAUUGCAUCACUACCAGAUGGACCUGCGUUGUAUUAGCUAGUUGGUGGGGUAACGGCUCACCAAGGCGACGAUACAUAGCCGACCUGAGAGGGUGAUCGGCCACACUGGGACUGAGACACGGCCCAGACUCCUACGGGAGGCAGCAGUAGGGAAUCUUCGGCAAUGGACGGAAGUCUGACCGAGCAACGCCGCGUGAGUGAAGAAGGUUUUCGGAUCGUAAAGCUCUGUUGUAAGAGAAGAACGAGUGUGAGAGUGGAAAGUUCACACUGUGACGGUAUCUUACCAGAAAGGGACGGCUAACUACGUGCCAGCAGCCGCGGUAAUACGUAGGUCCCGAGCGUUGUCCGGAUUUAUUGGGCGUAAAGCGAGCGCAGGCGGUUAGAUAAGUCUGAAGUUAAAGGCUGUGGCUUAACCAUAGUACGCUUUGGAAACUGUUUAACUUGAGUGCAAGAGGGGAGAGUGGAAUUCCAUGUGUAGCGGUGAAAUGCGUAGAUAUAUGGAGGAACACCGGUGGCGAAAGCGGCUC